AGGCAAAGAUCCUCGGCUACAAAACCUACCCCUUACAUGGAAUAAAAACGCAUUAAGACCUCAGUUCAGAGAUGGUUGUCAAAGCGUGGUCUCUUUCCCCUUGAGCUUCUCGAUGCAGUCUGGUCGCUUGGCACUUGCACCUUCCUUGUUGCACAGUGAGCUCAGGGAACAAAACUGCAACCACUAUUUCUGCUAUUUUCGCCCAGCAGUCCAUGGCCCAACUGUCCGUGGCAGUGCCUCUGGCUUUGAUGAGCCGGACGUUCUGGCUGGCCGGCAGCAGUGGCGGUCUCUUCCGGGAGCGCUUCCUCCCUCCCAGUACAGUUUCUCAUCAUAACAGUAUAUUUCCAUUUUGAUCUGCACUGCUUUUUUCACAUUUACAAUUGUUCAUCAGAAUGAUACAUGUUGAUUUGCACCAUUCCUCUCCCUCCCAUUUAUAAAUUUUCAUUAGAGCAGAAUAUUUCUUUUUGUGUGAGACAUUGCAGCUGUCAGUAUAAAUAUUCACUAGCUGGUCUUUAGCCAGUUAAAAAGCUCAGGUUAAGGCAAUUGAUUUGGCUUGUUGUGUGGACUUUGUUUCUGGUAAAUAAGAACUCUCAUUUAUGUUCACUGUGGAUGUUAUUUCAUACCCAGCUCUAUAAUGCCUCUGCUCAUCCUUUAAGUAGGAACCAUCAGUAAAUCAAAUUAGAUCAGCUUUGUCAAUAGGAGCUUCUUGUUGGUCAUUCCUGUGAACAAGAAGAUAAUCUGUUAACAAAAGGCAGUUCUGGAACAGAAGUUGCAGGGUUAAGGUUAUUUCAUCAAAACAAAGUAAUGCUAGGUGCAGAAAGCAACAAUACUUCAUAAGAAAUUAGCCCACUUACAGAAUAGUGCUGCAUGUGGUGAGUGUUCAGAAGAGACUCAACUGAGUCUGGGACAUAAAUAAAGGAAACCCUCAUUACUAUUUCUUCAGCAGCCUUACAUAAGGCUGUCCUUGCUGAAAUAGCCCCUAUGCAAGUUGGAAAUCCAUUUGCUACUCCAUCCAAUUUAGUUUUAAAGUGUAAAAGCAAGUCAACUACAAACUUUUUCGUAAAAGCAUCAGAGUAAGAUGAUAAUUCUAUAAAUGACAAAAGACUUUAAAAACACUUUAAAACAUAGCUAAAGGCAUGAUUACAAUGCAGCUGUCAAGGAAACAUGGCUAUUUCUGUGACAUUCAACAUUUUAAGGCAAUAACUAGAAUUGUGACUUAGAACAUACCAGGACAUUUCAAAUUUUAGGAAGUUCAUAUCAUUUCUAGACCAUUUAUAACCUAAGGUUUAUCAUUACUUAUUUGACAAUAUGUCCCAUGUAAUUUUACAAACCAGAUAAGCCUAAUUAGUUUGAUAUCUCUCUCUGAGAUGUUCAGGGGUCCUCUGAAGCAUUCCAAAGUUAGCUAGAGGGCAAAAGAACUUCAUUUACAUUUUGGUUUGAGGAAGUUUGUCAAAGAUAUCAAAGGUUUUAAACAUUUGGCUAAGUAGGAUCAUAAGUCACUGUGAAAUAAGUCAUUUAACCCAAGUGACCAGAAUAGAUUUCAAAGGCAAACACAGAGUUACAUCAGAUUAUUUCAGAGUUAGUAAGGAGACUUUAUAAUCUGUUUAUUAAAAGCAGAUCAGUAUUAUAAGGAAACACCAUCCUCUUAGAGAAAAAUACACAUUCUAGUUUUGAAUGACUUUACCUUUAAGAUUAACAUUUAUUCCCUUGAUUAAAUUCAAUCUAUUCUUAGUUCCAAGUAUGCAUAAGACUUUUUUUCAGGGUUCCCUUUUUUUAAUUUAUUUUUUUAAUUUUUUUGCUUUUUAGGGCUGCACCUGCAGCAUAUGGAGGUUUCCAGCUAGGGGUCUAAUUGGAGCUGUUACCGCUGGCCUACACCACAGCCACAGUGACGCCAGAUCCUCAUCUGCGACCUGCACCACUGUUCACAGCAACCCAGACCCUUAACCCACUGAGCAAGACCAGAGAUUGAACCUGCAUCCUCAUGGAUGCUAGUCAGAUUCGUUAACCGCUGAGCCAUGAUGGGAACUCCAGGGUUCCCUUUUUUAGAUUUACAUUAAUUUCUAGAAACAUAUGACACUUCAUAACACAAUCUUCCAACCAAGCAGAAAAUACAUAUACUAAUAGUCUGAAACAUUUUUUGUCUCUUGGUUAUAAGAGGUCAAAAGUUGGUAAACAGACUUCAGCAAUUAAUGUUUCAGUAUUUUAUCUUAUUAAAAAUAAUCUAGAAAAUCAAUGGAUUUCCAUCACUUAAUUUAACAGAACUCUACAGCUUCAAAUAACCAAAAAUCUAGAGAAACUGUUUUUAGGCAGACAUAACAUAAAACAUAAUUAUUUUUAAAGAGUUCACCCCAAUACUUUUUAUCUCAUUUAUCUCUGCUUCAUUGCUUAUGAGGACAUUGUCAUACGAAGUUAAUUUUCUUGUUGAUAAAUUUUAUAACAAAGAUAACAUGAGCUUAUGACUUUCAUUAAACUGAGGUGCAAUAAAAGUAUUAUAAUGUCAAUGACUCUAAAGAUAUGUCCAUAUUAAUUAAACUAUCAACUUAAUCUUGUUUUUAUUCAUUUAAAAUUCAUCCCAGCCCAGGAUACUUUAAAACUUUGGGGCUAGUUUAUGUUAUAUUAACAAAUAAUUGAUUUGUAAGUGCUUAUUUUUAAGUCAAGUAAACAGAGCUCUUUUAUAAUUUUGAUAACACCAUCCAAAGGUAGAGACAUAGAAUAUAUAUAACAUGCACACAGACAUAUGUAGAUACAGAAGUACACAGGCAGAAAUCUCAUAGUUUUCCAGCUUGAGUUUAAAAAGUCUUCUUUUCCCUUUUUCCUCUGAGUUUUAAGCUCUACUAAUUGGGUCAAACUGUAGUCUCA
rnacentral:lncRNA from 1 species